CAGACAGACUCCCAAAGUUACCCUAUCACCCCAGGCUGACUGCUGCCUGCUUUGGCAGCAAAAAUCUUUGAGGUGGCCCUGCUUUCAGCCUCACAUUCUUUUGCUGAGUUUCUCUAACUCUUCCACCAUCCCACCAGGUUCCUUCACACUUCUGUGCCUUCACACAUGCUGUUUCUUCCUCCUGGGAUACAAUUCCCCAUCUCCAAUGUUUGAUCAACUCCUCAUUCUUCCAAAGCCGGCUGGGAUGCCACUGUUUCUGUGAAGCCUCUAACCUCAUAAGACCCUGGCUUCUCCUUCAGGGAAAGAGAGAUUCAUUACAUGGAAGGAAAGCCAAGUCCCUCUCAACACUUUUGCCUUGCCACCUAACAGAAAUUAGCCUUUGA
rnacentral:lncRNA from 1 species